UAUAUAAACAAAGGGUUUUUCAGAUUUAAGGCUUUAGCCAUCCAUCCCCAAGUGCAUGAACAUUGAACAGGAGCCCUCCCAUUAAAAGUGUUGACAAAAGAUGAGGCAAAAGUGAGACGAAAAGUUGGAGGACUACUGGAGGAAUGAAUGAAGUUUUGGGUCACCUGCGAAAUAGUCCCUUAUGAUUAUCGUCAGACUGCUUGAUGGAACCAGCAUCUGUUUUUGGUAUUGGGGAUUGGGUCUAAAAGUUGAUCUAGAGAGCUGGAAUUCAUUUGAUUAUAAUAUCCUUGUGGAGCCAGAAAGCUCUUCUGUAUGACAUGAGAGAGAGAGAGAGAGAGAGAGAGAGAGAGAGGGAUUGAAGAAGAUCUCAAUCCCCAAAACACAUGACCUUUUUCUGUCAAAUGUGAGAUGUGUCAAAAGGGAUUGCAGAAAACUAAAAUCCCUUUCAUUGAGAUGGAGAGUCAACAGAAGAAAACCCUAGCUGCAGGCUCCGGCAGAAUACCCAAGAUUGAACUCUAAUAACUCAAUAAGGGAGAGUGGCACCUCUCAAGGUUGAAGUUGGAAUUCUGUUUUUGGGAUAGUAAGUAAUGGGUUGCUGUUGGUCCCAACCUCUUUACCAACCCAUAUCACUGAUCAGGUAUAAUUGGGUCAUUUACAUUUCAUAUGCUUCUCAUUUCUCUCCUAUCUUCUACCUUUUGUUUUUUGAAUUUCUUUUUUUAGGGUGGGGCGUCUGCAAUUUGGUCCCAGUGGUUCCAGCAUGUUUAUGCUUUUGUCAUGGGUACUGAAUUAGUCAGCGGGGGUGAUGAUGAGCAGAUGAUGUUAUAAUAUACCAAAUAGAGAUAAAAAUAACAAGUUACAGAAUUUGAGUCUAAAAGAGAAAGGGUGUGUGGGGGACACAAGAGUCCAAUCACUGUUCUCAUUAUCAAUUUUCUGUUUAUUUAUUUAUUUAUUUAUUUAAAUAGGUCUUUCCCUCCUCAUAUGACCUCAGGUAAGAUUCAUUAGAAAGGAAGAAAAAAUCAGGUAGUAUAGGCUUGUAUGUUUUGACAGGUAGUCAAUGGAUCAUAAAGGAACCAAAUGCCCCACCAUUUGCUCUUAUGCACAGAUUGCACAGCUCCAAUAGUCACACCCCCCUUCAAGGCUCUGGCAUUUUCUCCUCUCAUUCAAGGCAACCCAGUCUUGCUUCUAUCUAGACUAAUAAGUUAUGGAAGAAACAGAGGAGUCCAAUGCUAGCAGGAAAUGCAACACCAAAGGCAGGAGUUUCAGGGGGAGGAGCAACUCUCAAGCCUAUCAGCAUCAGCUGUUGCGGCACUCAAAUUGGAUUGGGUACUCCAACCAGAACCAAUACCAGAGUUACCCAGCUCUUCUCCCUCUGCCUCCGCCAAUACCUCUGCACCUGACGUCAACUCUAUCUCUUCCCCAAAACCAGAGCGUUAGAGCGAAACCCCAUUUGCAGAAACAGCCAUGGAAGCAGAACAACCCACCUCGUGUCACCUCCUCCGAUACCCACUUCCCAGCUCCCACAGUUUCCCCAGUGGCAGAGAGUCUCCAAAGGCGAACCAAUUUGGCUCCUAAAGGUGAAGAUAGAAGGAGAGUCAUGGGUGCCAAACCACAAACACUAAUGCCAGCAAGAAGGCCGGAUGCUGGUGGCAUAGAAGGGCCAGUGAUCCCUCUCCUUGCCAACCAUUUUCUAGUACGAUUCGACUCUUCUCAACGAAUUUUUCAUUACGAUGUUGACAUAUCCCCAAAUCCUUCCAAGGAAGUUGCUCGAAUGAUCAAGAAAAAACUAGUAGAGGACAACUCGUCUGUGCUAUCUGGUGCUUUUCCAGCCUUCGAUGGCCGCAAGAAUCUGUAUAGCCCUAUUGAAUUCAAGAAUGACAGACUUGAAAUCUUCAUUAGCCUCCCAAUUCCCACCGGCAAGUCAUUUUUGCCAUCCAGAGAGACUAAUGACUGGCAAGAGAAGCAUCAACAGCUUAAGCUCUUUAAGAUAAACAUAAAACUUGUGUCGAAGUUCGAUGGAAAAGAAUUGAAUAGCUACUUGAGCAAGGAGGGAGAAGAUUGGAUCCCUCUUCCUCAAGAUUAUCUCCAUGCUUUGGAUGUUGUUUUGCGGGAGAGCCCAAUGGAGAAGUGUGUAGCCUCAGGAAGAUCAUUCUACUCAAGUUCAAUGGGAGGGACAAAAGAAAUUGGAGGAGGUGCUGUUGGAUUGAGAGGUUUCUUUCAGAGUCUUAGACCGACCCAACAAGGCCUUGCUCUUAAUGUGGAUUUCUCUGUAACAGCUUUCCAUGAGAGUAUUGGUGUAAUUCCCUACUUGCAGAAGCGUCUUGAGUUUCUGCGAGACCUUUCACAGAGGAAGACAAGGGGCUUGACUAGGGAAGAGAGAAAGGAAGUGGAGAAGGCAUUAAAAAACAUCAGGAUUUUUGUUUGCCAUAGAGAAACUGUUCAAAGAUACCGAGUUUAUGGCCUAACUGAAGAAGCUACAGAAAAUCUCUGUUUCGAAGACAGAGAUGGAAAGAAGCUAAGGCUGGUGAAUUAUUUCAUGGAUCAUUAUGAUUAUGAUAUACAAUUCAGGAACUUGCCAUGCUUGCAGAUAAGUAGGAGUAAACCUUGUUAUCUACCUAUGGAGCUUUGUAUGAUUUGUGAAGGCCAGAAGUUUCUUGGGAAAUUGUCUGAUGACCAGACUGCUAGGAUACUCAAGAUGGGAUGUCAAAGACCAAGAGAAAGAAAAGUCAUUAUUGAUGGAGUCAUGAGAGGACCAGUUGGCCCAACAAGUGGCAACCGAGGCAGAGAAUUCAAGCUCCAUGUUUCUAGAGAAAUGACCAGACUAAAUGGGAGAGUUCUUCAACCUCCAAAGCUAAAGCUUGGUGAAGGUGGCCAUAUAAGAGACAUAAUUCCUUCUCGUCAUGAUCGCCAAUGGAAUCUCUUGGAGAGCCAAGUCAUUGAAGGAACUCGAAUUGAAAGGUGGGCACUAUUAAGUUUUGGUGGCACCUCAGAUCAAAAAUCAAACAUUCCGAAAUUCAUAAACCAGCUCUCUCAGAGGUGUGAGCAGUUGGGCAUAUUUCUGAACAAAAACACUGUUCUUAACCCUCAAUUUGAAUCAAUUCAGGUGCUUAACAAUGUCUCCCUCUUAGAAUCUAAACUUAAGAAAAUCCUCAAAGCUGCAUCCAACCAGCUCCAACUGCUUAUAUGUUUAAUGGAGAGAAAACACAAGGGAUAUGCAGAUUUGAAGCGCAUUGCUGAGACAAGCGUUGGUGUUGUAAGCCAGUGCUGCCUCUACCCAAAUUUAGACAAGUUGAGUUCACAGUUUCUGGCAAAUUUGGCUCUUAAGAUUAAUGCCAAAGUUGGUGGAUGCACAGUGGCAUUGUAUAAUUCCUUGCCCUCUCAAAUCCCUAGGCUCCUUCGGCCUGAUGAGCCAGUGAUCUUCAUGGGUGCUGAUGUGACCCAUCCUCACCCGCUUGAUGAUUUCAGCCCCUCUGUUGCUGCAGUGGUCGGUAGUAUGAAUUGGCCGGCAUCAAACAGAUAUAUAUCGAGAAUGCGAUCACAAACGCAUAGACAAGAAAUUAUCCAGGAUCUUGGCACUAUGGUGGGGGAAAUACUAGAUGAUUUCUAUCAGGAAGUAACUGAACUUCCCAAGAGGAUAAUUUUUUUCAGGGAUGGCGUAAGCGAAACUCAGUUCUAUAAGGUGCUUCAAGAGGAGUUGCAGGCUAUUAGGGAGGCUUGUUCUCGAUUUCCCAGCUAUAAACCUCCCAUUACUUUUGCAGUAGUCCAGAAGAGGCACCACACCAGAUUGUUCCCGGACGAAACUAGUCUAUCUUCGAUUCGGAACCAAUUUUUCAAUGAGAAUAUCCCCCCAGGAACUGUUGUGGACUCUGUGAUUACUCAUCCAAAGGAAUUCGAUUUCUAUCUUUGUAGCCAUUGGGGGGUGAAGGGAACAAGCAGACCUACUCAUUACCAUAUCUUGUGGGAUGAAAACCAAUUUACUUCUGAUGAACUGCAGAAGUUGGUUUACAACCUCUGCUACACAUUUGUACGGUGCACCAAGCCUGUUUCAUUGGUGCCUCCUGCCUAUUAUGCCCACCUUGCCGCAUAUAGAGGCAGACUUUACCUCGAGCGUUCGGAAUCCUUGGCUUUUACCAAAAAUGCUUCUACACUUUCCAGAGCUGCGCCACCAAAGGCAACCCCUUUGCCAAAACUUAGUGACAGUGUUAAGAAACUCAUGUUCUACUGCUGAUAUGUUGUUGCUAUCUCAUCUCAAUUCUAUGCCCUCAACUCCACACCGAUGCAGUGAACUUUUGAGGACAGCACGGCCACGAGAAGAGACAGAAAGACUGGGAAUUGCAAACGAGGGCUGGGACAAACGGUGGGGACCAGGACGAAGCAGGGCUAUUUGCAGGCACCUCUGCCCCUGCCACUCUGCCUGCGUGGGGAUGGGGAGCUUUCUGUUUUGUGGACUCAUGACUCAUCUCUUUGGAACCACAAUUCAAAACUGCUUCCUCUCUCACGCUCCCAAAUCCAAAUCCUUAGGGUUUGCCGGACAAGGCCUGUUUGGUAUCCUUUCUGCAUUUGAUUUUCGUUUUUCAUUUCUUUAUAAUGAACACCUUAUGAAAAAAUGUUUGUUUAUAUAAUGGAUUUUAUUUUU